GAUGAACGCUGGCGGCGUGCCUAAUACAUGCAAGUCGAGCGAACGGACGAGAAGCUUGCUUCUCUGAUGUUAGCGGCGGACGGGUGAGUAACACGUGGAUAACCUACCUAUAAGACUGGGAUAACUUCGGGAAACCGGAGCUAAUACCGGAUAAUAUUUUGAACCGCAUGGUUCAAAAGUGAAAGACGGUCUUGCUGUCACUUAUAGAUGGAUCCGCGCUGCAUUAGCUAGUUGGUAAGGUAACGGCUUACCAAGGCAACGAUGCAUAGCCGACCUGAGAGGGUGAUCGGCCACACUGGAACUGAGACACGGUCCAGACUCCUACGGGAGGCAGCAGUAGGGAAUCUUCCGCAAUGGGCGAAAGCCUGACGGAGCAACGCCGCGUGAGUGAUGAAGGGCUUCGGAUCGUAAAACUCUGUUAUUAGGGAAGAACAUAUGUGUAAGUAACUGUGCACAUCUUGAAGGUACCUAAUCAGAAAGCCACGGCUAACUACGUG
rnacentral:rRNA from 1 species